rnacentral:rRNA from 1 species
AACGGACGCUGGCGGCAUGCCUAACACAUGCAAGUCGAACGAGAUCUUCGGGUCUAGUGGCGCACGGGUGCGUAACGCGUGGGAAUCUGCCCUUUGGUUCGGAAUAACAGUUGGAAACGACUGCUAAUACCGGAUGAUGACGAAAGUCCAAAGAUUUAUCGCCAGAGGAUGAGCCCGCGUAGGACUAGCUAGUUGGUGUGGUAAAGGCGCACCAAGGCGACGAUCCUUAGCUGGUCUGAGAGGAUGAUCAGCAACACUGGGACUGAGACACGGCCCAGACUCCUACGGGAGGCAGCAGUGGGGAAUAUUGGACAAUGGGCGAAAGCCUGAUCCAGCAAUGCCGCGUGAGUGAUGAAGGCCUUAGGGUUGUAAAGCUCUUUUACCCGGGAUGAUAAUGACAGUACCGGGAGAAUAAGCUCCGGCUAACUCCGUGCCAGCCGCCGCCGUAA